UCAUCUCCUGAUGAGAAGUUGAAAGGCGGCUUUUGCUGUCACUUACAGAUGGGCCUGCGGCGCAUUAGCUAGUUGGUAAGGUAACGGCUUACCAAGGCGACGAUGCGUAGCCGACCUGAGAGGGUGAUCGGCCACACUGGGACUGAGACACGGCCCAGACUCCUACGGGAGGCAGCAGUAGGGAAUCUUCCGCAAUGGACGAAAGUCUGACGGAGCAACGCCGCGUGAGUGAUGAAGGUUUUCGGAUCGUAAAACUCUGUUGUUAGGGAAGAACGAGUGCCAUAGUAACUGAUGGCACCUUGACGGUACCUAACCAGAAAGCCACGGCUAACUACGUGCCAGCAGCCGCGGUAAUACGUAGGUGGCAAGCGUUGUCCGGAAUUAUUGGGCGUAAAGCGCUCGCAGGCGGUUCUUUAAGUCUGAUGUGAAAUCUUACGGCUCAACCGUAAACGUGCAUUGGAAACUGGAGGAACUUGAGUGCAGAAGAG
rnacentral:rRNA from 1 species